ACUCAAAUGAAUUGACGGGCACCCGCACAAGCGGUGGAGCAUGCUGUUUAAUUCGAAGAUACGCGAAGAACCUUACCUAGACUUGACAUCCCUGGCAAUGCUAUAGAAAUAUAGCGGAGGUUAUCCAGGUGACAGGUGGUGCAUGGUUGUCGUCAGCUCGUGUCGUGAGAUGUUUGGUUAAGUCCAAUAACGAGCGCAACCCUUAUCCUUAAUUGCUAACAUUUAGUUGAGAACCUUAAGGAGACUGCCGGUGACAAACCGGAGGAAGGCGGGGAUGACGUCAAAUCAUCAUGCCCCUUACGUCUAGGGCUACAGGCGUGCUACAAUGGCCAGUAUAAUAAGAUGCAAUAUCGUGAGAUGGAGCAAAUCUGUAAAGCUGGUCCCAGUUCGGAUCGGAGUCUGCAACUCGACUCCGUGAAGUUGGAAUCGCUAGUAAUCCCGAAUCAGAAUGUCGGGGUGAAUACGUUCCCGGGUGUUGUACACACCGCCCGU
rnacentral:rRNA from 1 species